UAAAUAUUCUCUCCGUCCGGAAGCACUUGUCACAGAAAUGGAUAAAAAUGGAUGUAUCUAGAAAUAAAAUACUUCCUGAUAAAUCCAUUUCUCGGAAAAGUAAUUCUGGACGGAGGGAGUAGUUU
rfam:Hordeum vulgare subsp. vulgare, WGS project CAJW01000000 data, contig: morex_contig_60934